CCUACGGGUGGCAGCAGUGAGGAAUAUUGGUCAAUGGCCGAGAGGCUGAACCAGCCAAGUCGCGUGAGGGAAGACGGCCCUACGGGUUGUAAACCUCUUUUGUCGAGGAGCAAAGCGAGUCACGUGUGACUCAUUGAGAGUACCCGAAGAAAAAGCAUCGGCAAACCCCGUGCCAGCAGCCGCGGUAAUACGGAGGAUGCGAGGGUUAUCCGGUUUUAUUGGGUUUAAAGGGUGCGCAGGCGGUGGUGCAAGUCAGCGGUCAAAUUCCGGGGCUCAACCCCGUAGUGCCGUUGAAACUGCAUGCCUUGAGUGCGCAAGAGGUAUGCGGAAUGCGUGGUGUAGCGGUGAAAUGCAUAGAUAUCACGCAGAACUCCAGUUGCGAAGGCAGCAUUCCGGCGCGCAACUGACGCUGAUGCACGAAAGCGUGGGUAUCGAACAGGAUUAGAUACCCGAGUAGUC
rnacentral:rRNA from 1 species